GGGGGGGCCGUGACGGCGAGGCAAGGGGGUCCGGAGGCACGGGGGGGCGUGCUGCGAGCGCAGCGACACUAGGUGGGGCCAUCGGCUAAACGGAACGAGCCCGGAGCCGAGGAGCCCGGGGCACCAAGUCGCCCUCGGUUUGGUACCCUCCUCGCCCGAAACAUCGCUCCUCCGCUCCUAAAUAACGCCCGGAGCCUGCCGAAAUGCUGCGGGACAGGGGCACGCUUGUGAUGUCCAGCUUCAGGAGGGCCUGCUCUCUGGCAGCAGACCUCUUCAAAGCACACCUCCCUCUGUAGAUGCCAAAUCCUUUUGUGCAUGUGAUGCUCUGUAUUUGUUCUCUACGAGAUCUGCUUCCUGGUACUGCUUUAAGAGUUUGUUCCUCCACUUAGUGUCAGGAUUCAUACAGUUUGCAGGCAUGUUUGGCAUGUAGAUGUGGUUAUCACUCUCCAGUACUCUGUUACUCUAAAAAUGAAUGGAAUUAGCCACUAGUAAGGGAUGCUACUCUCAAAACUGGGAUUUCUGUUGUAGUGUGCAAGCAACAGCCCAGUGGGAGUUGCUGAGUCAUGCUGGAAAUCUGCCUGUGACAGUGCAGAAAUUUGCAGGCAGCACAUUAACAAAACAUGUUUAGGGAGGAAAGACUGAUUUUUGUUAUCUUCCAGUGGCGGACUAGUGUGGGAAUGUUAAAAUACUGUAGUAAGUUAGUUGGUAAUAGGGAAGGGAAAAGAAUGAUGCUUCAGAGUUAUAUGUCCACUAAAAUUGAAGUUUGGAUAGUGUGCAUUCAGAAAUAAUUUUAUUUUCCAGUAAUGACAAUAUGCAAUAUCACGUAAGAAAUGAAAUUGAAGAAUUGAUCUUAUUCUUCAAAUACAGGAUAGCUUCAAUAUUAAAAUUAACAUAUAAAUUUAGCAUCAAUCUUAUUUCCCCACUCACGUCCGCUGAGUAAAUGCACAUAAAGAAUGAAUCACUGAAACAGUAUACUGAGAGAAUCAAAGUCAUUUUUCAAAUGUGUCAGCACAAAUGUGAGGUAAGCCUGUUCACCAAGCAUCCAACAAAUGUUGUGGAGGUGGCCCUUCAGGCCCUGAAGGAGCCAAGCCGGGGACCCUGGCAGGGAGCAGGACAAACAGCAGCAAAGCAUGGCAGAAGAGAAGCUGAAGCAGGACAGCCCCCUGUACCAUGCUCAACCCCACCCUCCUCCACAGCACCCAACCAGUACCUCCAGCUUCACUCCUCCUCUUCACCAAUGCGUCUCCUUUCAGCAGCGCGAAGCGUUUGCUCCGACUCGAAAAUACCUUUUCCUGCCGUGAGAUGGAGCCAGAAAACGCGGGGCUCGGGCGCCGCACCUGCGGCACUGGGCUCGGCCGUGGGAAAGGAGGCGGCGGCCACGCACACAGGUGUCAGCAACGCCGGGAGGAGCACGGCCUGGGACAUUCAGGGGCCUUUUCAGCAAUGUCUGCUGAGGCAAGGGAAAAAAAGAUGCGUGUAUGAGCGAUGCCCGAGCCAGUGGGCAUUUUCUACAGGCAAAGACCCGGGUUCUCGCUGCAUGGUGGAUGGGAGAUAAAAACAGUACUUGUGCCAGCCUGGAAGCUCAGCCGGGUGAAUAAAGUGUUUUUUUCAGAG
ensembl:lncRNA